rnacentral:lncRNA from 1 species
UAUAACUGUCUCAAAAAUUUAAUAAUUCAUUUCCAAAAUUUUGGUUGAUAUUUGCGUAGUUCAAAAAACAGAAAUCUAGUAAGCAGUUAUAAUCAAAAUAGGAAUUUUGUUUGUAUCUUUCUUGCUGCCGUGUUUUUUAAGUAAGCAGUUAUAAUUAUAUGGAUAUAAGCAGUUAUAUAUUGCUUCCUUGCUGUCAGAAUUUUUUAAAGUAAGCAGUUAUAACUAGAGCAAAUCUCCAAAAUAACACAUUUAUAUGUUUAUGUCACAAAAAUAGCUCUCAAAAAUUAAAAUAACUAAAAUAGCAUUUUAUAUUUUGAAAAAUUUAAUUUUUUUUUAUUUUUUAAAAUUUGAAAUCUUAUCCCAAAACCCCACUCCCCAACUCUAAACCCUAAAACCUAAACGCUAAACUCUAAACCAUAAACCUUAAACUCUAAACCUUAAACCCUAAAUCCUAAAUCCUAAACCCUAAAUCCUAAACCCCACCCCUUAACUCUAAACCUUAAACCCUAAACCCCACCCCUAAACUCUAAACCCUAAACCCUAAACCCCACCCCUAAACCCUAAACUCUAAACCCUAAACCCUAAAUCCUAAACUCCACCCCUUAACUCUAAACCCUAAUGUCUAAAUUAAUUUACCUUUGGGGUAUAAGUAUAUAUUUAUCUCUUUUGAUAAAACAUUAAGUGUUAUUUUGGUCAUUUUUAUUCU